GGUCCGCUGGCUCAAUGGCAGAGCGUCUGACUACGAUGAGUGAUCAGGAGGUUCCAGGUUCGACCCCUGGGUGGAUCG